rnacentral:rRNA from 1 species
AGCGAACGCUGGCGGCAGGCCUAACACAUGCAAGUCGAACGAACCUUUCGGGGUUAGUGGCGGACGGGUGAGUAACACGUGGGAACGUGCCUUUAGGUUCGGAAUAACUCAGGGAAACUUGUGCUAAUACCGAAUGUGCCCUUCGGGGGAAAGAUUAAUCGCCUUUAGAGCGGCCCGCGUCUGAUUAGCUAGUUGGUUGAGGUAAUGGUUCACCAAGGCGACGAUCAGUAGCUGGUCUGAGAGGAUGAUCAGCCACAUUGGGACUGAGACACGGCCCAAACUCCUACGGGAGGCAGCAGUGGGGAAUCUUGCGCAAUGGGCGAAAGCCUGACGCAGCCAUGCCGCGUGAAUGAUGAAGGUCUUAGGAUUGUAAAAUUCUUUCACCGGGGACGAUAAUGACGGUACCCGGAGAAGAAGCCCCGGCUAACUUCGUG